rnacentral:lncRNA from 1 species
GAAACUACAAGUAAGCUUCAAGUGAAAUUGAUACAUUACCUUGCGCAUCUUCAUCGGUUAAAGAUACCACCCCUGGAUGGAGGAAAAGUACUUCUAGAGAAGAUGCCACAUCUACAUAUGAGACAGAUAAGGCAAGUGAAAAUGAUACCACACAUUGGUACUUAGAAGUUUCAUGAUUACUCAAUGGCUUGGAUCUUACAAGUCCCCAACCGAGGAGCUUCCCUUACUCGGGAACUUAGGGGAGCACUGUUUGUACCAUACUUGACCAAUCCUAAAACUACUCAACACCGAUCAAAGUUAUACUGUCAAGGACCUAGAAGAGUUUCCUUCCAAUCAGGAGGCCAAUCACAGUGCGACACGUGUCGACAUCAGAAGCUAAUCAUAGCGCGACAUGUGUCAACAUCAGAAGCCAAUCACAACAUGCCACGUGUCAAUGUCAGAAUGAAACUAGAAACUCUUUUCUAUAAAUAGAGAUCAUUCCCUCGCAAUAUUUCCUAAUGUCAUUGAAGAAAAAUUUGUCCUAGCUAAGAACAUGUGAGAACAUUUGAACACAUAUGCAAACUAAUAACACAUUAAAGUAGGCAUCCAUUAAAAAACAAUUCUGAAACCCAUGACUUUCAAAACCUAGUGAAUGGAGAACCACAAGACUCUUUAACAAUAUGAAAGAGAAUGAAGGAUUUAGAGAUUCAUUACCGUUGAAGCUCAUCCUUGUUUACACAAGGGAUUCACCUAAGUGGAGGGUCUUCAAGUCACCUUCUAGCUCCUUGGAUCUUCCUUGUGUUUUUCUUCUUUUUGAUGCUCCUUUGCUCCUUGAGGAUGUGAGGAAAGGAUCUCCAAGAACACUAAAGAUUUGGUGUCUCUAAGUCUCCACACCAAGGAUGAGGUGUGAAGAUGAAAUGGAUGACUUAGAGAAGAAACGAUUGCUAGCUAAUUCUUCCCUAAGUGGCCGGCCUCCUUUUAGAGAAAAGGAGAGAAAGUGUUUCUCUUCUUUGCCUCAAGAAAACCGUAAUGAGAAAAAGCUAUAAAGUUGACUUUAUACUACAUCACAUGUGAGUGGCAAACUUGUAAUUAAUUCAAGUUUGCAUCCACUCACCCUUAUGGCCGGCCUUGUCUUUGUUAUUGGGCUAAUUGCCCAUUUUGUUUUAGUUGUCAAACAACUUAAACAUAAUGGGCCUUGAGGACCAAAACACUUCUGGCCCCCGAAACCUAAAACCAACU